CCUAGGCCUAAGACUAAGCCAAAUCCAAAGCCUAAGCCUGGGUCUCAGCCUAAGGCUAAGGCUAAGGCUAAGCCUAAGCCUAUAACUAAGCCUAA
ensembl:ncRNA Y55F3BR.15 ncRNA